GGAUACCCGCUGAACUUAAGCAUAUCAAUAAGCGGAGGAAAAGAAACCAACAGGGAUUGCCCUAGUAACGGCGAGUGAAGCGGCAACAGCUCAAAUUUGAAACCUGGCGCAAGCCCGGAUUGUAAUUUGUAGAGGAUGCUUCUGGGCAGCGGCCGUUCUAAGUUCCUUGGAACAGGACGUCAUAGAGGGUGAGAAUCCCGUAUGUGACCGGCGCGCACCCUCCACGUAGCUCCUUCGACGAGUCGAGUUGUUUGGGAAUGCAGCUCUAAAUGGGAGGUAAAUUUCUUCUAAAGCUAAAUACUGGCCAGAGACCGAUAGCGCACAAGUAGAGUGAUCGAAAGAUGAAAAGCACUUUGGAAAGAGAGUUAAAAAGCACGUGAAAUUGUUGAAAGGGAAGCGCUCACAACCAGACUCCGUGGCGGUGUUCCGCCGGUCUUCUGACCGGUUCACUCGCCGCUGUGGGGCCAACAUCGUCUGGGGCCGCCGGAUAAGACCGGAGGAAUGUAGCUCAUUGAGUGUUAUAGCCUCCGGGGAUGCGGCGCGCCCCGGGCGAGGUCCGCGCUUCGGCAAGGAUGUUGGCGUAAUGGUUGUCAGCGGCCCGUCUUGAAACACGGACCAAGGAGUCUAACAUCUAUGCGAGUGUUCGGGUGUCAAACCCCUACGCGUAAUGAAAGUGAACGGAGGUGGGAACUACGGUGCACCAUCGACCGAUCCUGAUGUCCUCGGAUGGAUUUGAGUAAGAGCAUAGCUGUUGGGACCCGAAAGAUGGUGAACUAUGCCUGAAUAGGGUGAAGCCAGAGGAAACUCUGGUGGAGGCUCGCAGCGGUUCUGACGUGCAAAUCGAUCGUCAAAUUUGGGUAUAGGGGCGAAAGACUAAUCGA
rnacentral:rRNA from 1 species